rnacentral:lncRNA from 13 species
AGGCUACGCACCUAUAACAUCCACCAGAUAACAUCCACCUCAUCCUCUAUUAGCAGGGUUUUUCUCAAUCUUGAGAUCUCCCAGAACAGUUGUACUGGUGCGACUCAAACCAAAAACACUAACCACGCCCUUUAUGCCCAGAAUCAAGCUUCCUUUUGCUUUUUUGCUCUUAAAGUCCAAAAAUGUAAAUCUUUCACCCGAGAGGGUUUGCACCGGUUUCCUAACCCAAGGCGGACUCUUAUAGCUGUGUCUUGUAAUUCCCAUUGGAAAACAUUUCCUCCAGGGCAGUGCAGACGCCCCGAAGAAGGACCCCCCCCGCCCCCCGCGCUUACCUCCCACACACCUGCAACCCCUGUCAGGAUUCUGGAGCUGGUGCCGGGAGGACUGCGCUCCGCUCCGCGCUCGUUCCUGCUUUCGUCUCUCCCGGGAAACUACAGCCCAGACUGCGCCUCCGGCUUCUACGGGGACCCAAGCUCCGCCUCCCUGUCCUCCAGUUGGCGAAUUUGGCAGCUGUUGCUCCUCCCCCUGCUGUUUCUGCAGCUGCCCGGGCCAGAGGCAGCGGAAAGCAGCUGCCUUGGUACCUUCCCGCUCCCCGCACUUCUGCAGCUGCUCUGCUACUUCCUCUCCCCUGGGGGGGGUCCCUCUCCCCUCCUCUGUGGCCUCACACCUGGAGCUGCCUCUGGCCCCACCCAGGCGUCUCUGCCGGGAGCCCCGGCUCAGCCGAUCCCUCCCCGACCCGUGGGUCAGGUUCCCCGGCGUGCGUGGGGCUUAGCUGCUCUUGGGGAAGCUGCCCCUCCGUCCAGUGCAAGUCCCUACACCAAGCCCUUCCUUCACCCGGGAGAUUUCCCGGAGGCUUCCUCUCUACCCGCAAGGCAUACUCAGCCCGAUAGCCCCACGUUCCCCACCACGGGCCCCUCACCCACUUCCUGCCUCGGUUCAGUCAGCCCGCCCCCUCAAUGGGUGAGGCGCCUGCCGGCCCGACCCCGCACCCUGAUUGGCGCAGGUGAGGGUUUGCCCCGCCCUUCCUCUCCUAUCCGUGCACCAUCUCUUUUCUUCUCACCUCCUCCCGCAAAGGAAGGGAACUAUCCUGCUAUUGGCUAG